rnacentral:rRNA from 1 species
AGAGGAGAAGGAAGCUUGCUUCUUUCAAAUCUAGUGGCAAACGGGUGAGUAACACGUAAACAACCUGCCUUCAGGAUGGGGACAACAGACGGAAACGACUGCUAAUACCGCAUAACACAACGGAGCCGCAUGGCUUUGUUGUCAAAGGAUUUAUUCGCUGAAGGAUGGGCUCGCGUCCGAUUAGAUAGUUGGUAAGGUAACGGCUUACCAAGGCGACGAUCAGUAGCCGGCUUGAGAGAGUGAACGGCCACAUUGGAACUGAGACACGGUCCAAACUCC